rnacentral:lncRNA from 1 species
AUACACUGCUGCAUUUGAUUAUUAAUGCCUUAUAAUUUGAAUGGUUAGAAAAUGUAUCCACUUUUAGAUUUUGUGAAUUCUCUCACCAGAAGAGUUGUGCUACAAAUGGAAGACUGAAAACUACCUGGCAGAAAUUAAAAAACAAGCAAACAAAUGAACAAAAGUCCAUGCAUCAGGCCCCACCUUCCUGGAGGUUGUGAGGACGCACGGAAUGAGAUGAGAACUGAAGAGGCGUAGAGCAGCCCGGGGUGCAGGUGCGCUCGGUACCAAGCGGUCUUCAUUCCUCCUGUUGCCGCCAGAGGGCUCAGAAAAAAAGUAAGUCCAAUUUCUCUGGCUUUUUUUUUUUUUUUUUUUUUUUUUUGCUAUUG